AGGUUAUCAGCGCGUGUCUCCACGCUGGCCGGCCGUUAAUUGGCCAAUCCGCGUGACAUCGCGAUCCGGGCCCGAUAGCGGGGCAGUGGACCGUUGCGCGGCUGUGCCUGGGCCGGUCCGCUAUGUCCGCCCGAUGAGUCUAGAUCUGGAGAGGAAAAUUUGUGAAAAAAGACCAAGUCAGAUCCUCAAAAAGAACUGCAAUGGCUCAGAGAAGGGCAACGCAACAGUCUACAUCACUGUAGGCGGAUGGCACAAUGCUUACAUUAGGAGCUUGGAUGGUGAAUAUCUAAGUUGCACCAACUGGACUACAUCAAAAAGCUGAGACUUCUAUGAAAAAUCAAGUAAUUGCAUUGGAGUGGUAUGACUGUAACAUUUCUUAUUUAAAAUUUCCUUCUCCCUUUCCUAGUUUCACAAACUAUAUCACUAGACCACAUUGUUAUCUUUAUCAAAUGGAACACGCUUUUGUUACCUUAAGACACAACUAUUCCAAUGCCGCUCUGAUCAGCCUCUCAUCUUCCAUCCUUUGUAAACUUAAGUUCAACAAAAUCUUGUUGUCUGUGUGCUAAUUUGCACCAGGGCUCAAUCACCCAUCAUCCACAUGCACUGGGUCCUCAUCCAGCAAUGCCUCGAUUUUAAAAUUCUCAACCUUGUACUCAAAUCCCUCCCUCCCUCUAACUUCCUCGAACCCUACAAUGCUCCAAUUGUGGUCACUAGUGUAUCCCCAAUUGUUGUUUCACCAUUAGUGGCUUUGCCUCCAGCCUUCUAGACCAUAAGACCUGGAAUUCCCUCCCUAAAUAUCACCACUUCUCUAUCCCUCUUCCUUUAAGAUGCUCCUUAAAAUCUACCUCUUUGGCAAAGAAUAUGGUCAUCUGUCCGAAUGUCUCCUGCUUUGGCUCAGUGGAAUUUUUGUUUGAUUAUGCUCCUGUGAAGCACUUUGGAAUUCUUUACUGUUAAAAAUGCUAGAUAAAUGCAAGUUGCAAUAAUUGUGAUAAAACAGAGUUCUGAUGCAAUGACCCAUUAUAUUUUUUCUAUAGUACAUUAAAGAGACAGGGCACGUGAAUUCAAUUUUGGCUUCAGAUGCCUAUAACUGGGAAAGAGCUCCUUUGUCUCUGAUCAGGGUUAAAACACAAAAAUGUGCUGAUACAUCUGUAUUUUCAGGCAAAGGCGCUUGAUACCACUGUCAGCCAGAGUCCAGAAUUUCUGUUCUAGAUGAUGAGCUAAUUUAAAAAAUCUCUUGAAAGACAA